AGGCCAUGUUUGAAAUUAUACACAUUUCAGUGUAUUUAAAGCUAUCUAGCCAUCUAUCUGUUAUAUCUGUGGUGUCGCUGACAGUCUGUGACCGUCUCCUUUGGCAAUGAAAGUACAGAAAAUACAAAAACAUGUUUUGAGUCAAGGAUAUAAUUUAAACUCUGUUUUAAGACAAAUUGUAACAGCAUGUAUGUAUGUAGGUAAGUACAGUAUGUAAGCUGCCGUUCUGUCAUGGUCCUGGGUCUUUUUAAACGUUUUUGUGAGUUCUUUGUUCUUUUUGUGUAUGAUUCAUGUUUGGGUUUGCCCUUUGUUUCUUUUGAAAAAUUAGACUACCAGUGUUGUUUAUACUUUUAUGUAUAUAUAUGUUUUAUGUAUUAUAUUUACGAGCGGCUCCUGUAUAUAUUGAGCUUAUUGUUCAAGUCUUUUAUUUUAGAUUUUCUUUGUUUGGGGUUCUGUAAGUUUUGGUUAGUCCUUAGCUUGUUAUUCAUAAGAGUUGUUUUCAUUCUUUUCCUUCAGUUUCAUUUGUGUUUCCCUGCCUGUUUGUUCUCCCUGUGUCGACUUGUUAUCCCCUGUUCAGUUUUUUUUUUUAUUUCCUGUUUUAUUUCGGUAGAGAUUUGUUUGUCUCACCUUUGUCACAUUUUCCAUGAAGCUGCUUGUUCUCUUGAAGUAGUUUCCUGUGCUUCAUAGAUUUGUAUACCUAGCUUUGGUCUUUGUUAAUCUUUGGAUUUUGAACUUUGUUAAUCUCUGGUCUUAUCAGCAUUAAAUGAUCACCUUGUGUUUGACUUCAGCCUACAUCGCCCUGCUGGCAGUAGUAAAGUAAAACACAGACGCGCACACAAUUUUAAAGCUGUCUUCUGCUUUCUCGUGACACAUACUGAUGUACAACAGACAACAGUCCCAGACCCUGUUAGUAGCUAACAGGAAGAACCAGGUGUGUUGUAUUUUCAAAAUAAAAGCCAUUGGUUGAUCGGGAGACCAGUGUGAUUUAAAAUGUAUGGACUUCUCAAAGUACAACUUCUCAGUUUGCACAUACAGCUACAGUUAUUUUGUAGUGUGAUUUUCAAAAUAAAAGCCCCAGGAUAGUUAUGGGAACUUAAAUAAAUCCUCCAGUUACAUAUUUCACAUUUUCAAGAUGUUUUAAUGUUUUUAAAAAUAAAAACUGUGUGUUCAUUAAAAAAGAUCACUGAAUUUUGA
ensembl:lncRNA